rnacentral:misc_RNA from 1 species
AGUUUCUGUUCCCUUGGAUGCAAGGUAUGUAUUCACAUUUUCUCUUCUAUUCAAUUCCCCCUUCCAAUUCUUGAUUCUUUCAUUGCUUUCCAUCUACAAUUUAAAUCCAUUUCCAACUAAUAAUUUCUUCAAUUUGUUGAUAAAAUUAGAUGGGUUCUGCCAUUUCUUAAUUUCCCUUAUUAAUUUUAAUUUUUAAAGGCAAAUUGCGCAUUUUUCAUAUUUUUAUUUUGGUAAUUUAAUUAAAUUUAAGGGGUUAAAAAUGCAUUCCCCAUGGAAAAGAAAUUAUUCCCCUAGCUAGGCCCAACAACCCUUUUCCUCUUCAGAUAAAAGGGGAAAAAAACAAGAAAAAUGUGCAUGUGCUUUCCUUUUUUUUUUUUCUUAAAAAAACUUUUUUCAAAGUAAAUAAAUAUAUAGAAAAUCAUAUUUAAUUCUACAUGGCUAAUUAAUAAUUAAUUAAUUUCGUAUUUGUGAUGAUCAGAUUGUUGUGACAUCAAAGAACU